rnacentral:rRNA from 1 species
AUGUCGCUGGUCGCCUACGACGCCUCCUCCGACGAGGACGAAGCCGGCGACCCUCCCGCCGCCGCCCCGGCCCCGCCCCCCCGCCCCGCCCCCACCAUCGGGCCGCAGCCGAGGCCUCCGUCGCCCUCGCCGUCCGCGCGCGCCGAGCUCCGCCCCCCCGCGCCGCCGCCCGCCCCCAGCCAGAAUGUCUCCCUGCCCACACCAUCAUUUGACCUACCAGACAUUGCAGAUCUUUUUGAUUCCCCCUCUCUCCCCAACAGAGGUUCUGCUGGUAUGGUGGGAAGUUCAUCAAGGAAAAGAGAAUCAAAUGGAUCAGCUAUUCAAGAUCCCCGUAGUAAAUUCCCAAGGGCCCAGUCAGCUCAAUCUCGUGGUGCCAGGAAUGCUGCUGCGAGCACAUUAGUUCCGCCGCAGCUUAGUGGAAGGAGUAACGUUGUUACUGAAGAUAUGGGCAAACUAUUUGUGGCAAGACGCAAAGAUUAG